GACGAACGCUGGCGGCGUGCCUAAUACAUGCAAGUCGAGCGGACUGAUUAAGAGCUUGCUCUUAUGACGUUAGCGGCGGACGGGUGAGUAACACGUGGGCAACCUGCCCUGUAGAUCGGGAUAACACCGAGAAAUCGGUGCUAAUACCGGGUAAUAUCUGAGAUCACAUGAUCUUAGGUUAAAAGAUGGCUCCUGCUAUCACUACAGGAUGGGCCCGCGGCGCAUUAGCUAGUUGGUAAGGUAAUGGCUUACCAAGGCGACGAUGCGUAGCCGACCUGAGAGGGUGAUCGGCCACACUGGGACUGAGACACGGCCCAGACUCCUACGGGAGGCAGCAGUAGGGAAUCUUCCGCAAUGGACGAAAGUCUGACGGAGCAACGCCGCGUGAGUGAUGAAGGGUUUCGGCUCGUAAAGCUCUGUUGUUAGGGAAGAAACAGUACCGAACGAACUAGGUCGGUACCUUGACGGUACCUAACCAGAAAGCCACGGCUAACUACGUG
rnacentral:rRNA from 1 species